CUUUAAAUAGGUGUUUUGAUUCUUCCUACAGAAAUUAAAAUGUAUUCAGUGGAACUCACAGUUUAAAAUUCUAUGUUUCUGAUGAACUCUAACAUUCCAAUGUUGCCUUCUCAGCAAACUGAAAGCUGCCUUAUACUGAAUGAGGAAGAGCACAAAUACUCGGCUGAAUGAGCCGAGCCCAGCGAAAGAACGGCACACAGCAGUUGCUGCCCAAGCCUGGGUGCUCCUGGUGGUCCUGCACGAUGGGCUGUGCAGUAGGCUUGUCAAGGAGAGGAUCCUCCCUGGCCUCUCCUUGGGCAGAGGAGAUGUUCAGCAUACUCAUGUCUUUCUAAUUGGAGUUGUUGAAAUGACUCCUUCAACUGCAAGAAUGGGCACAGAAGUUAGGAAGGGCUGUCACUGGUCCUCACCUGCUCCUGGCCACCUGGGGUCAUCGUCCUUCCACAUAACUCCCUCGGAAAACCUCACCUGUGUCAGCUGCGCUUUCAGCAGUGCCUCCUCCCGCAUGGACUGCUCUAACUUCCACUCCGUACGUGCUUUACUGGGGCCGGACAACUGGAUGGCGAAGAGUGAAAAGUUUCAAUCUGGAGAGCCUGGGCCAUUCCACACAGUGCCCCUUAAAAGGGCUAGGGCUAGGCCCAAUAUACAACUCGGUCAGUAAAGAUCAAGGCAUUUCCAAGCCCGUGGUCUGGUUUUUAAAAGAACUCAGUAAAGUUGGAACGGACAGGGAAUGAGAUUGAAUUUAUAGCUGGCUAACAGAGGCCCAGAGAGAUCAGAUAAUAUUGCUAUUGUUAUUACUGUUAUUAUUACCACUGUUUGAACCUUUGUGGAAUGCUUCACCAGGUACCAUGCUAACAAUCCCAUUUAAUCCUCGCAACCACCAUAGGAGACAGUUACUAUGAUUCCCUCUAUUGUGGAGAUGAAAAAACAUGGAGUAUUUGAGGUUAAG
rnacentral:lncRNA from 1 species